AUUUAGCUGACGAGUCUCAAAUAGGAUGAAACACGCAUCCUGGAU
rnacentral:hammerhead_ribozyme from 1 species